GAUGAACGCUGGCGGCGUGCUUAACACAUGCAAGUCGAGCGAAGCGCCUUUUUAGAACUCUUCGGAGGGAAGAGAGGGUGACUUAGCGGCGGACGGGUGAGUAACGCGUGGGCAACCUGCCUUACACAGGGGGAUAACAAUUAGAAAUGAUUGCUAAUACCGCAUAAGACCCCAGUACCGCAUGGUACAGGGGUAAAAACUGAGGUGGUGUAAGAUGGGCCCGCGUCUGAUUAGGUAGUUGGUGGGGUAGAAGCCUACCAAGCCGACGAUCAGUAGCCGACCUGAGAGGGCGACCGGCCACAUUGGGACUGAGACACGGCCCAA
rnacentral:rRNA from 1 species